GGCCAUUGCCAGCGGGGGAGGAGCGUGGGUGGAGCCUGACCCAAUGCAGAGGAACAUCGGCGCUGGAUUCAGGUAAGUGACUGAAGGAGUUUUAACUGCUUCAGCACCGUGGGGGAGGAGGGUGAAUGGGUGCAAGGGAGUGGGGCACAUCACCUAAAGUGCCAGGAAAACGGGUUUAUUUUUCUUGCAUUAUAGAAUCCCUUUAAGGAACAAGGGGG